CCUACGGGUGGCAGCAGUGAGGAAUAUUGGUCAAUGGGCUUACGCCUGAACCAGCCAAGUCGCGUGAGGGAUGACUGCCCUAUGGGUUGUAAACCUCUUUUGUCAGGGAGCAAUUGGCGCUACGUGUAGCGUUAUCGAGAGUACCUGAAGAAAAAGCAUCGGCUAACCCCGUGCCAGCAGCCGCGGUAAUACGGAGGAUGUGAGCGUUAUCCGGAUUUAUUGGGUUUAAAGGGUGCGUAGGGGGGAUGCCAAGUCAGCGGUAAAAAUGCGGUGCUCAACGCCGUCGAGCCGUUGAAACUGGCGUUCUUGAGUGGGCGAGAAGUACGCGGAAUGCGUGGUGUAGCGGUGAAAUGCAUAGAUAUCACGCAGAACUCCGAUUGCGAAGGCAGCAUACCGGCGCCCUACUGACGCUGAGGCACGAAAGCGUGGGUAUCGAACAGGAUUAGAUACCCGGGUAGUC
rnacentral:rRNA from 1 species